rnacentral:tRNA from 1 species
AAAAAUUUAGUUAAAUAAAUAACAUUAGCUUGUCAAGCUAAAAUUAUUAAAUAAAAUUAAUAAUUUUUA